ACUGGGAUGAUGCAGAAACUCAGGACUGAUGUCCAUUGAUUUUUCACAAAGAUGAUGCUUACAACCAGCUACUUCUGACUAUU
rfam:Triticum urartu cultivar G1812 contig877852, whole genome shotgun sequence.